GGGAAAUUUAAAUUCUUCAGUGUUGUUUCUGAAUACUUAUGCUUCCUUAGCAGUUAACCUUUAUCUACAUGGAUUGAGAGACAGCUGCGUUCAGGAGUAAUGUGUCACUUUAAACACAUUCUGAGUUUUAAAUGACAGUACCAGAAAAGGACACAGUUGUAAUAAUGGUUGUUAAAAGCUAUAUGACUUCUUGUGGACAGCCCUAAUAAUGAGAACUAUGUGAUAUGAACUGCUGAACUUCUGGAAUUACAAUAACUUCUGUUCAUGUAUGUGAUUCAGAUUCCUGGAAAUCUGAGGAGCAGCCUUUGGUGGAUGAAGAAUGUAAUUCUCCCUGGAGAUGUGGGUAUCCCUUUUGAAGGGGACUGAAGUAGAAUCAGCUGAUAUCCAAGGAACACGACGUCAAGACAUGCAAGAGUACUUUGGAGAGAACUGGCAAUAAGCGUUGCAGUACCAUGGUGGCAAUAACACUGGCUGUCCUCUGGAGAUGCUGAAGCUCAGCCUUAUUUUGAACUUCUUUCUUAGACCCUGCAACUUGUUCACGAAGGACUGCUACUGAUUUGGAUUCAUAUGGUCAUGGGUGCUACCUUUUCCAUCCCACUACAGUCUGGAAGAAUUCUUUGAUGAAAGACAACAAAGUACAAGAUGAUAGCAUUAUACUAUCUGAGAUGGCUUUCAAAGAAUGAUUACUGUGACUUUCCAGUACUAGCCUACAUAAGCAACAAGAAUCUCUGGCUGGGCUCAGUUCAGAUCCUCAUGCACAGUGUUUUACUACAAAUCCUGCCUAGCCUCCAGCUGCUCCAGAAGAUUCUGUUAAAUCCUGUGUGCUGCCUACCAGCCUUGUCCGGGUGUUCUGGUUACAAUGGUGUCUACUGUGGAUCAAGCUGAAUCAAUCUCCAGGGUCUAUUGACCAUGCCUGCCUUGACUUCUCAGGUAGUUCACAGCCCCAGCUCUCAGGUAGACAUAAUUAGGUGUCCAAUGCUAGCCAAGAUUCCCUUGUUCUGUCCUCCUGGUUCCUAGUUACUGUUCCAAAAAGACACUGGUCUCACAGAAGUCUCAUGUCAUCUGCAAGCCCUGUCUGGACUCCUGAGUGUCUCAGAAGUAUUAGAUACUUUUUGCUCUAGAGGCUGGUGUCAAAGCGGAGGGCUCUGCUUUGUUACCAAACAACCACAGCUGUCCUGUUGUCCUUUUGAAGAGGCUCCUAGAGAUGAACUAGUAGCAUCCUGUUCCACCUUCAGGAAAUUGCAUGUAGUAAGGGAUGGGAUUAAUUUCACCUAACUUAACAGAUCAAACACUUAGCUAGUCUACAGAAAGAGUCUAGACAACUAGCUUGGUAAUAUAAAAAGGGUUUUGUGAUGAAGAGAUGCCUGAGCCAAGUGAGAUGAUGGUGCUUAAUUCUUCCUCAUGGCUGAAGAGCAAACCUGAGUGGCUAAUUUGAGCUGCAGCCAUGGAGUGUACACCUACAUGGUCUGCUAAUGAAACGGUGAUUAGACUGCAGUUGUGCACUAAGGCACACCCAGACACAAGAACAGCCCAGAAACUCAAGUGUCCAGAGUGCUUUGUCUGUUGCUAUGUUGGGGACUGCACCACAGCAAGUGUCCAGGCACUGCCUGUGGGACAGCAGGGGGAGAGGAGGUGAAGCAGACCCUGCUCCUGGUCGUUUAGGAGACUCCUAGAGGGUAGAGAGGUAAGGCUUUAAAACAUUUCCAUUGAAGAUAUGAAGGUAGCUCACCAGGUCUGAGUCCAUGCCUAUAUGCUAUAUAUAUAUAUAUAUAUAUAUAUAUAUAUAUAUAUAUAUAUAUAUAUAUAGGAAUCUGCUAUGUGAGUAGGGCUACAGCCCACUAAACUAUCCCCACCCUCUCUCAAACACCCAUUUAUGAGCUUGAUG
ensembl:lncRNA